rnacentral:lncRNA from 1 species
GGUAUGAGAUCUGAUCUCAUAAAUUAAUUUUAGAUUUUAUAUAUCUUAGAUCCAUGUUAGAAAAAGGUUUUAGAUCUGAUUUAAUGCAUGAUAAAAUAGUUAAUCUAUUUUAUUCUGCUGUGAUUUCAAAACAGUUUUGAAAAACAUGCAUGUAAUCUGCCCUUCCCCUUUCUAACAGUGGUACCAGAGCCACGAUUUUAAUUAGACAUAUU